AAGGAUCAUUACAGAGAGAGGUUUCACCGCCUCGGGGGGCUUCGGCCCCCAACUCUCCACCCCGUGCGUACCUCCUCUUCUGUUGCUUUGGUAGGCCUUUGAGGUCAAGCUCAUGCCGGCGCCGCCGGCGAGUGUCUGCCAGUAGCCCUUUCCGACUCGUUUUAUCAGUGACGUCCGAGUGCCAAUGUAAAUAAUCAAAACUUUCAACAACGGAUCUCUUGGUUCUGGCAUCGAUGAAGAACGCAGCGAAAUGCGAUAAGUAAUGUGAAUUGCAGAAUUCAGUGAAUCAUCGAAUCUUUGAACGCAUAUUGCGCCCCUUGGUAUUCCGGGGGGCAUGCCUGUUCGAGCGUCAUUGCACCCCUCAAGCGUAGCUUGGUAUUGGGAUUUCGCCUUAUAGGCGUGCCCCAAAGGUAUUGGCGGCCCGGGACGGCUUUCAGCGUAGUAAAUUUAUCCCCGCUUCGAAAGUUCGUCCCCGAGGCUGGCCAGAAAACCCAUGAUAUUUUCAACGAUUGACCUCGGAUCAGGUAGGGAUACCCGCUGAACUUAA
rnacentral:rRNA from 1 species